UACGUAGGGACCGAGCGUUGUCCGGAAUCAUUGGGCGUAAAGAGCGUGUAGGCGGCCACUUAAGUCCUGCGUGAAAUCUUGCGGCUCAACCGCAAGCGGUCGUGGGAAACUGGGUGGCUAGAGUGCGGGAGAGGAGAGUGGAAUUCCUGGUGUAGCGGUGAAAUGCGCAGAUAUCGGGAGGAACACCGGUGGCGAAGGCGGUUCUCUGGGCCUUACCUGACACUGAGGAGCGAAAGCGUGGGGAGCGAACAGG
rnacentral:rRNA from 1 species